CCUACGGGUGGCAGCAGUGAGGAAUAUUGGUCAAUGGACGAGAGUCUGAACCAACCAAGUAGCGUGAAGGAUGACUGCCCUAUGGGUUGUAAACUUCUUUUAUAUGGGAAUAAAAUGUUCCACGUGUGGGAUUUUGUAUGUACCAUAUGAAUAAGGAUCGGCUAACUCCGUGCCAGCAGCCGCGGUAAUACGGAGGAUCCGAGCGUUAUCCGGAUUUAUUGGGUUUAAAGGGAGCGUAGGUGGGUUGUUAAGUCAGUUGUGAAAGUUUGCGGCUCAACCGUAAAAUUGCAGUUGAUACUGGCAGUCUUGAGUACAGUAGAGGUGUGCGGAAUUCGUGGUGUAGCGGUGAAAUGCUUAGAUAUCACGAAGAACUCCGAUUGCGAAGGCAGUUCACUGGACUGCAACUGACGCUGAGGCUCGAAAGUGUGGGUAUCAAACAGGAUUAGAUACCCGUGUAGUC
rnacentral:rRNA from 1 species